UGUAGGAUUUUCCCAAGAAUCAAAGCACUAAACAAAAUGAAUUCCAAUAAUAAAAGAAUAAAUUCCAAUAGUAAAAAGUACAUGAUAACAAUGAACAAAAGGCACAAAUUAAAGAACU